CUAGUCUAUCCCUACAGAGUAUAUACAAUGCAGGCAAAGUCCAAGUGUGUUACUCGUAAUCGAACAUCUAUAACCAAAUCGUAAUUCCUCCUAUAUUCUAACUUUCGCCCAUUUCUACCCCAAAUUUCACACGAUUUCCAACCUAUACUAACUCAAGAUACUCUACGGUAACAGGAAAUUCUCCCGAGUUUUAUUCUUUCCAAAAAAGAGAAAAGAACCAGGGAAGAGAACCGCCGACCCAGCUCAGCCCUCCGCCUUCGCCAUUUUCCACAAGGAGAGACCCGGAGAAACAGACUUUCCGCCUCCGCCACCAUGUUUGCUCUCAGGACCGCCGCUAGCAGGAUCGCCCAGGCCAACAACACGAUGGUGAUGGCCAAGAGAACAACUGUAAUCUCUGGACCCCCACAGAAUAAGAUUAGCACUAUUGAGAAGUCUCUUCAUGCUGUGGCCAUUAUGGCUGGAUUAUGCGCUAUCCCUGCUUGGGUCCUUGCAAACAUCAAGAACUACCGUGGCCGUGAGGAAUAAGGCAGACCGAAGAAAUAAACACCUUGUCUUGUAAAAUAGUGACAUUCACAACAUGGUUUAUAUAUCCUUCAUUCCAACCAAAAUGAAAAUUGUGGAAAAUCAUUUUGUAAAUAAUAAAUUAUAGAUAAAAUAAAA
rnacentral:lncRNA from 1 species